UGGAUGAUGCAUUUAUGGGAGCUGU
rnacentral:piRNA from 1 species